ACUAGGCGGAGAAGGCUAACGUGCGUGUGAAGCAGCUGAAGCGUCAGCUGGAAGAGGCGGAGGAGGAGUCUCAACGGGUUGCCGCGGGACGCAGGAAGUUACAGAGAGAACUGGACGAGGCCUCCGAGGCCAACGACGCCCUCACUAGGGAGGUGUCGGCCCUAAAGAGCAAACUCAGGUACACACAGGUUAUUCCACCUGGCUAAAUACAUCACACUGAAGUACACCUCGAGAUGAUGUUUUUACACCAGGCGAGGAGGAGGGGAGUCAUCUUUCAGCAGCAGUCCUCGUCGCGUGGGGAGCAUUGGGAAUGUCAGCCUCAGUAGGACUGGGAGCCGGAGGAGCAGAGCUGGGGAUAAUGAAGGGAAUGGUGGGAAUUCUGAGAACACAAACAACGUUCCAGAAGAGGAGGAGCCUCUGUUCUCGUCCACCCCGCCUCCAGAGGACAUCAGCGGAACCCUGCCGGAAGAGUAGAGGGACAAAGUCUCACCCCUCCUUUUAAACACUGUCCUUCCUUCUUCCUGUCCUUCCCUGACUUCCCUCAAUACAUCUUUCCAUUUCCU